rnacentral:rRNA from 1 species
UACCGCAACGGAGGGAGGCGUCCGUAAGGUAAGGGUUGGAGUGAUUGGGUG